UUGCGGAUUUUCUCUGGUGGACAGUCAGUAGUUGGUCUAGAGCUGAUCAAGAGCCGCAUUUGUUAUUAGGCGACAGAAGCGUUCGAAGAUAAUGCACUGUCGUCAGAAAAAAGACACACAGUCAAGGCCGUGAUUCAGAAUGAUAAGGCCGAUGAGAGAGAGAUGGUGCUGGACUCCGUAGGACACUGGAGAAGAAGAACCUGUAAAACAAAUUCCAUCGGAGGUAGCUCCGAUAAGGAUCUUUCGACGUUCAAGUCAGUUAGAUGGCCGGAGAAAGAAGAAUGACAGAGUAUCUAGAUCGCAAAAUAGUGCAUGUAUGCAUACCUGGAGGGAUCUCCGCUUACCUCUAUUUAUAGAUGGAGCAAAAUGAAUAGUGAGAGGAUAAGUGAUUAUAUCGAUCAUAUCUUAUUGUACGGUGUCGCAUGGUGCCGCAUGGGCAUCUUUAAAUUCUGACGGCGAGCGUGCCUUCUAUUUGAUGCGCUCAUGACGGUGGACGCUACCGAGUGUGGGAUAUAAUAAAUGAUCCUGUGGGCAUAUUUAAUAAAAUCAUAGUAUCCCAUCACGGUGCGUAGCUAGCCGACCAGAGUAUGGCG
rnacentral:lncRNA from 1 species